rnacentral:miRNA from 1 species
CUUAGGGUCUAAACCAAAGCAUAAUUAAAUUAAUGAGAGUCUUUCCAUUGACUUCAGUAGGCUUUGGAUCAGAUCCUUA